AUGAACAGCAGACAACAAGCUUCGCUCUCCUCCAUAAUCUCCAUCAUCAAAGCUUCAGGGCUUCAUUAUUCAUUAUGGACUCAACAUCAUCUCAUCAUUUCUCCUCAUCCCUCAACGAACUCAAUCCACCUCACAACUCUUGAAACCAAAACGGAACACGAUGCGGAUACCAGAAUGGUAUGCUCAACUUCUUCGAUCAACACGUCAUCAUCCCUUCAUGUCUUUAAUUGGAUUCUGUCGAUGCAAACCCUUCCGGCAGUUCUCGCCCCCAAAUAUCUCCGAGCGACACAUAGUUUAAAAAAUGCAACAAGAAUUGAAUGGCAAUGA